rnacentral:tmRNA from 1 species
GGGGACGUUUUGGUUUCGACGGGGAAGACAACUUGGGAUGUAAAGCGUGUGGUAGAUUCAGACUACCUUAAAACUGAAAAAUGCUUAAACGCAAACAAUAACAAAGCUUUGGCUAUGGCUGCUUAAGUUAAGCAAUUAGCUAUCUUUUCACCUAGUGUCGCGGUGUUUAGAUUGGUUUAGACACAAAAUUUUGAAUGGGUGUCAAGACAUUCAAUCUAAUAAAUUUGACUAGUGUUUAAAAAUUUUGUUUGUGGAAGGUUUAAACAUAAAACAAAAACACAAACUACACACGUAGAAAAGUCCAAAGCAGCUUUUUCGGACGCGAGUUCGACUCUCGCCGUCUCCACCA